GACGAACGCUGGCGGCGUGCUUAAUACAUGCAAGUCGAACGGAAAGGCCCUGCUUUUGUGGGGUACUCGCGUGGCCAAAGGGUGAGUAACCCGGUAGUAACCUGCCCUGUACUUCGGGAUAAAUUCAGGAAACUGGGGCCAAUUACCGAUAGGCGCUCCCGCUGCAUGGUGGGGGUUGUAAAGUUUCGGCGGUUGCGGAUGGACUCGCGGCUUAUCAGCGUGUUGGUGGAGUAGUGGCUUACCAAGGCUUUGACGGGUAGCCGGCCCGAGAGGGUCGCCGGCGCCAUGGGGACUGAGAUACGGCCCAGACGCCUACGGGAGGCAACAGUGGAGAGUAUUGCGCAAUAGGCGGGAGCCUGAUACAGCGGCUCCCCGUGCGGGAUAACGGCCUGCGGGUGAUGAACCGCUAUCGCCUGAAACGAAGCGAGAGUGACGGUAAUUGGUAAAGAAGCAACGGCUAACUACGUG
rnacentral:rRNA from 1 species